AACACACUUCCCUCUGCGCACAGACUCACAACCUAAAGAAAAACAAGAACAAAGCCUUGUGUUGCAUAAUACCACCGGGAAGUAUUGCUUUCUGUUUGAGGUGAAACGUUACAGAGACACAAAAUGGGGGGCGGGUGUGAGGAGGCUGACGGUGACGGUGACGAUGACGGUGAUGGUGCAGAGGAUGAUGGCGAAGUGCAGGUAGUGGACGCUCCGCAGGACGGGCGGCGCGGGGUCGUAUACCCCACAGCGAGCGGGCGGGAAGGCGAAUUCCAGAACCAUCCGCGUGACACCGACAACCAGACCAACCAUCAAACCCCAGAACGCUCCCUAAACACAAAACAACUUCGUUAUACACUCCGACAUUUACAAAUAUUUCACUCCUUAAUUAUUUACCAAUAAAUCAGAUAUUGAAAAAUG